rnacentral:rRNA from 1 species
CCUACGGGUGGCAGCAGUAGGGAAUAUUGCACAAUGGGCGCAAGCCUGAUGCAGCAAUGCCGCGUGGAUGAAGAAGGUUUUCGGAUUGUAAACUACUUUUGUCAGAGAAGAUAGUGAUAGAGUCUAACGAAUAACCACUUGCUAAUUCCGUGCCAGCAGCCGCGGUAUUACGGAGGGUCCAAGCGCUACUUGGAAUCACUGGUCCAAAAGAUCGCGGAGGUGGGUUAGCAAGUCAGAUGUGAAAUCCGCUGGCUUAACCAUAGAACUGCAUUUGAAACUGGUAAUAUUGAGUAUGGGAGAGGGGGGUGGAAUUCCUGGUGUAGGGGUAAAAUGCGUAGAGAUCAAGAGGAAUACUGAUGGCGAAGGCGACCUGCUGGAAGAUGACUGACGCUGAGGUGCGAAAGCGUGGGGAGCAAACAGGAUUAGAUACCCCAGUAGUC